rfam:Arabidopsis thaliana chromosome 4, complete sequence.
GAGGCUUCUACCGUCUUAUGAAGUUGCUGUGACAGAGUUUAUUUUUCUUCCUUUGGCUGAUUCGGAGAUGCAUUA